CGGGGAAUAUUGGACAAUGGGGGCAACCCUGAUCCAGCCAUGCCGCGUGUGUGAAGAAGGCCUUUUGGUUGUAAAGCACUUUAAGCAGUGAAGAAGACUCCAUGGUUAAUACCCAUGGACGAUGACAUUAGCUGCAGAAUAAGCACCGGCUAACUCUGUGCCAGCAGCCGCGGUAAUACAGAGGGUGCAAGCGUUAAUCGGAAUUACUGGGCGUAAAGCGAGCGUAGGUGGCUUGAUAAGUCAGAUGUGAAAGCCCUGGGCUUAACCUGGGAACGGCAUCUGAUACUGUUAGGCUAGAGUAGGUGAGAGGAAGGUAGAAUUCCAGGUGUAGCGGUGGAAUGCGUAGAGAUCUGGAGGAAUACCGAUGGCGAAGGCAGCCUUCUGGCAUCAUACUGACACUGAGGUUCGAAAGCGUGGGUAGCAAACAG
rnacentral:rRNA from 1 species